GCUCUGGUGGCACAGUGGUUAAGCCUUUGGUUGAUAACCAAAAAGUUGGUGGUUCGAACCCACCAGGAGCU
rnacentral:tRNA from 1 species